CCAACAUUGACAUCCAGCUUUACCCUGGCUCUGUCUGUGUGGCAUAUGGGAGCUGAAUGCCCUUCCCCAUGGGCUGGAGGUAAAGUCCCCUUCCACAGUGUUGAAGAAUAAUGUCUGUUUCCCCCCUGGUAACUGGGGCGUGGACAAACCCCUGCAUAUUCCAUCAGCUUCCCAGAGUCCCUCUGUGGGCUGUGACGGGGGAGAAAAACCAUGCAGUGGACAGAC